rnacentral:lncRNA from 1 species
AAUUUUUUUAAUGCGGACCGAUCAAAUUUCUCCGCGGACCGGUACCGGUCCGCCGGACCAGUGGUUGAGAAACGCUGGUCUGAGGGAUCUUGUUUGUUCUUCGUUACAAACAAAAUUUUCUUGGAAUACGCCUUCCACCGUUGGUCUUCUUUUUUCUCCAACGCAUCUGCAAACGAUGCAACUUUUAUCUCUAUCAGUUGGUAUCCAUCGGAAGUCUCCAAUUUUGAGGUAUAACAAUUCUUUCCCUUCGUAAACCAAACCAUUUGCAAUAUAGAGGAACGAUUCAAAGCUGAUAUUUGAAAUCCAAAGAGAUUUUCGAUGGCGUCGUUUGAACUUAAAGCCUGUUGUGAUUGAGCAUCUACAUUGGUAAGUUGUGUAGAACAUGGAGAUGUUCGUAUCCUUCUUUUUUGUGGAAGGCGAAGAUGACGAUGCUUCUUCCAGUUGCAUAUCUUUUCCUUAUAUCCACAAUGCUAAUGGCUUCUUCACGAGAUCUGAUGGGUAGGAUUUGGUGAAGAAGUCUUGGUAUACGAAUACUUUGUGUCAUUCCGUAUGCAAGUCGCAGCAAAGCACUACAAUAUCCAUCCAAUCCAAUGGCUGUCCUUGAAGGAGGUGAUAAUACUGUUAACUCUCCAAGUAACUGACAAUCUGUUUCCACAUCUGUAGUAGCUCCUCGUUGGCAGACAUUGUUACCAGUUUCUCUGUGUUCUUCAGAACUGCCGACAUCUGUAACCAGUUCAUCUGAUCCCUCAUAAGAAAACAAAUGAUGAUCUGGACUGACAGUAUUUUCUUUUUCGGAGGACUGCAUUAUUCUUCUGAAGGAGGUGCAGGUCUCUUAGUUGUCCUAGUGUAAUGAGUUUCUAGGCAUAAGUAAAAAUACACAUGUACAUUUGAUAUAUAUAGUUAUUUAUAACUGAGAUGACUGUCUACGCUCAAAUAUGUACGGAAGCAGUCCAUAUAUAGUCAGAUGUUGUUAUUAUAAAAAUAGUAGAUGAUAGUAUAACAUAAUUCUCUUAGUCAGUCGAUAUGUCCAUAGAUACAAUGUAUCCAAACGCGCAACUCAAACUGUACGAUCGGACACGCACAAGGACGCACUAGGGAAUCCAAGGACACAGUUGGGUUGUAUCCAGAGAUACGUACCAGAAAUAACGGACAUAGUUCGUACCGAAUCCACGGACACUGGUAUACGAUACGGACACAGUGCUGUCUAAGGGGAUUCGCCGUUCAAACCUA